AGCCGUAUCGACUGGAUCGGGAAACUCAUCAAUUAAAUCUGGUAAACCGAGAACGCUUCGGUCUCCAAUGGCGGGCCACAAUUCCUUCGGGAAGCUUUAAGCCAGUGGAUUACAAAGGGGAAGAGCACUCAAAUCUUGUUCUAUCAGAGUUUCAUCACAUCGUCGGUGCGGCUUUCUUA
rfam:Bacteroides pyogenes JCM 6292 DNA, contig:contig_50.